GACGAACGCUGGCGGCGUGCUUAACACAUGCCAGUCGAACGGAAAGGCCCUGCUUUUGUGGGGUGCUCGAGUGGCGAACGGGUGAGUAACACGUGAGUAACCUGCCCUUGACUUUGGGAUAACUUCAGGAAACUGGGGCUAAUACCGGAUAGGAGCUCCUGCUGCAUGGUGGGGGUUGGAAAGUUUCGGCGGUUGGGGAUGGACUCGGGGCUUAUCAGCUUGUUGGUGGGGUAGUGGCUUACCAAGGCUUUGACGGGUAGCCUGCCUGAGAGGGUGACCGGCCACAUUGGGACUGAGGUACGGCCCAGACUCCUACGGUAGGCAGCAGUGGGGAAUAUUGCACAAUGGGCCGAAGCGUGAUGCAGCAACGCCGCGUGCGGGAUGACGGCCUUCGGGUUGUAAACCGCUUUCGCCUGUGACGAAGCGUGAGUGACGGUAAUGGGUAAAGAAGCACCGGCUAACUACGUG
rnacentral:rRNA from 1 species